rnacentral:rRNA from 1 species
GAUGAACGCUGGCGGCGUGCCUAAUACAUGCAAGUCGAGCGAACGGACGAGAAGCUUGCUUCUCUGAUGUUAGCGGCGGACGGGUGAGUAAUACGUGGAUAACCUACCUAUAAGACUGGGAUAACUUCGGGAAACCGGAGCUAAUACCGGAUAAUAUUUUGAACCGCAUGGUUCAAAAGUGAAAGACGGUCUUGCUGUCACUUAUAGAUGGAUCCGCGCUGCAUUAGCUAGUUGGUAAGGUAACGGCUUACCAAGGCAACGAUGCAUAGCCGACCUGAGAGGGGGAUGGGCCACACUGGAACUGAGACACGGUCCAGACUCCUACGGGAGGCAGCAGUAGGGAAUCUUCCGCAAUGGGCGAAAGCCUGACGGAGCAACGCCGCGUGAGUGAUGAAGGUCUUCGGAUCGUAAAACUCUGUUAUUAGGGAAGAACAUAUGUGUAAGUAACUGUGCACAUCUUGACGGUACCUAAUCAGAAAGCCACGGCUAACUACGUG